GCCCAGCAGUGUCGCCGCGAGGAAUUCCAUAAACUACCUCCGAUGAGGCCCUUUUCGAUUCCCGUUUUGUGUAAUUUUUCCACCGUUGUGAUCAUCGUUUUCUUCUCUACAGGUUGACCGAAGCGAAACACCCAACCGUAACGUGAGCUGGAGGAGCCACCGCACCAGAGAGCCUCGCCGCUGGUAAAUUUUUAUUUUUCAUGUUUUUUCGGUUCACUGAGGCCCUUUAGCGUGUGUGCUUGUAGGAAUCGAUGUAAAAUCAGUC
rnacentral:lncRNA from 1 species